UACGUAGGUGGCAAGCGUUGUCCGGAAUUAUUGGGCGUAAAGCGCGCGCAGGCAGCUUCUUAAGUCUGAUGUGAAAUCUCGGGGCUCAACCCCGAGCGGCCAUUGGAAACUGGGAAGCUUGAGUACAGAAGAGGAGAGUGGAAUUCCACGUGUAGCGGUGAAAUGCGUAGAUAUGUGGAGGAACACCAGUGGCGAAGGCGACUCUCUGGUCUGUAACUGACGCUGAGGCGCGAAAGCGUGGGGAGCAAACAGG
rnacentral:rRNA from 1 species